rnacentral:rRNA from 1 species
UACGGGGGGGAGCAAGCGUUGUUCGGAUUUACUGGGCGUAAAGGGCGCGUAGGCGGUCGUGACAAGUCAUCUGUGAAAUCUCCGGGCUUAACUCGGAAUGGUCAGGUGAUACUGCUUUGCUAGAGUGCAGAAGGGGCAAUCGGAAUUCUUGGUGUAGCGGUGAAAUGCGUAGAUAUCAAGAGGAACACCUGAGGUGAAGACGGGUUGCUGGGCUGACACUGACGCUGAGGCGCGAAAGCUAGGGGAGCAAACGGG